UACGUAGGGGGCAAGCGUUGUCCGGAUUUAUUGGGCGUAAAGAGCUCGUAGGCGGCUUGUCACGUCGGGUGUGAAAGCCCGGGGCUUAACCCCGGGUCUGCAUUCGAUACGGGCAGGCUAGAGUGUGGUAGGGGAGAUCGGAAUUCCUGGUGUAGCGGUGAGAUGCGCAGAUAUCAGGAGGAACACCGGUGGCGAAGGCGGAUCUCUGGGCCAUUACUGACGCUGAGGAGCGAAAGCGUGGGGAGCGAACAGG
rnacentral:rRNA from 1 species